CUGAAUCUAAAAAUAAAAGAGUUAAAAAGUAUGAAACCAAAGAAAGUGGAAUACUAAAAUCCCAAGAAAACUGUAGAAAAGUUUGGAAGAAACACAUUAGCUUUCUCAGGGGAAAACAGUAACACGUUGGGGGCAGUUUAAACGAAGCCUAUAGGUUUGCCUUUUUUUAGCUUCAUCACCCAUGUGACGCUCAAGAGUUCAGCGUGUGGGUCCAGGUAUUUCUGCCAACACAAAGAAUUCAUUACAGCCUUUUGGAAAGGCGCAUCAUUCUGACUGUCUCAGCUUAUUCCCUUCGCUCUCCCCAAGAGCUGUUAACCCCAGGUACACUUUGAUUCUCUUUACGCACAUCCUCGCAGAUGGGAUCCUUUCUCAGUCUUUGGAUUUCUCCUUCGGAUCAAAACCACUGCUGAUGGAGCCAGUGGGCUGCCGGGUGUGGGAAGAAUUUUCAGGCUCUGACAUAGAUACAAGAAAUGAACCACAGAGUCAGCAGGGUCAUCAUUCUCUGAUCCAGUUUGGUGAAAUUCUUUGUGUCUGAAGUACCAGUGUAGCCUUCACACUACAAGGCCUUUCUCAUCCCUUGUUAGUCAUACUUCCUAUUUUCCCGAAUGAAACUCCGCCUCUUUAUAACAAACUGCACCAAAUGGCUGUAGCCUGUAUGUUCCAAAUGUGAGGUGAUGCACACUUCAUGGAUACGUUAUGUCUUCAAAAGACAGAUUUCAAUGAUGCAUUAAAUUCUGAGAAGAUGAAAAGAUAUCAUCUCGUUGUUUAACUGUAUCCAACUACCAGUGAAUUUAAUCUUUACAGUUUUAAAUUCAACAAGCAAAAUGAAGUAUUUCAUUGCUCUUUUCAACAUAGCUGCAGACGCCUUAGUGCAAUUUUGGUAGCCCUUAUGUGCAUGUUGGACUGGUUUUUAGAAAAGCCUGAAAUAAAAUCCAAACAAACAAAACAAAAAAACCCCACCAAUAUACUGGCCAUGUCAAAAGAGCUUUGGUGGUCCCUCUUCUGCAGUGUAGCUACC
ensembl:lncRNA